rnacentral:rRNA from 1 species
CCUACGAGAGGCAGCAGUGGGGAAUAUUGGUCAAUGGACGCAAGUCUGACCCAGCAACGCAGCGUGAAGGAAGAAGGCUUUAGGGUUGUUAACUUCUUUUAAGGGGGAAGAACAGAAGACGGUAUCUCUCUAUUUAGCUACGGCUAACUACGUGCAAGCAGCCGCGGUAAUACGUAGGUGGCACGCGUUGUCCGGAUUUACUGGGUGUAAAGGGUGUGCUGAAGGUGAGACAGGUCAGCUGUGAAAGGCACGGGCUCAACCCGUAAAGUGCAUGUGAAACUGGUAGUUUUGAGUGUAGUAGAGGUAAGCGGAAUUCGGGGUGUAGCGGUGAAAUGCGUAGAUAUCAGGAAGAACACCGGUGGCGAAGGCAGAUUACUAAACGAUAACUGACGGUGAGGCGCGAAAGCGUGGGGAGCAAACAGGAUUAGAUACCCGUGUAGUC